rnacentral:rRNA from 1 species
GCCAGACUCCUACGGGAGGCAGCAGUGGGGAAUAUUGGGCAAUGGGCGCAAGCCUGACCCAGCAACGCCGCGUGAAGGAAGAAGGCUUUCGGGUUGUAAACUUCUUUUCUCAGGGACGAAGCAAGUGACGGUACCUGAGGAAUAAGCCACGGCUAACUACGUGCCAGCAGCCGCGGUAAUACGUAGGUGGCAAGCGUUAUCCGGAUUUACUGGGUGUAAAGGGCGUGUAGGCGGGACUGCAAGUCAGAUGUGAAAUCCGGAGGCUCAACCUCCGAAUUGCAUUUGAAACUGUUUUUCUUGAGUACUGGAGAGGCAGACGGAAUUCCUUGUGUAGCGGUGAAAUGCGUAGAUAUAAGGAGGAACACCAGUGGCGAAGGCGACUUUCUGGACUGUACCUGACGCUGAGGCGCGAAAGCGUGGGUAGCGAACGGGAUUAGAUACCCCGGUAC